rnacentral:rRNA from 1 species
GGGUUGUGAGGUUAAGCGACUAAGCGUACACGGUGGAUGCCCUGGCAGUCAGAGGCGAUGAAGGACGUGCUAAUCUGCGAUAAGCGUCGGUAAGGUGAUAUGAACCGUUAUAACCGGCGAUUUCCGAAUGGGGAAACCCAGUGUGAUUCGUCACACUAUCAUUAACUGAAUCCAUAGGUUAAUGAGGCGAACCGGGGGAACUGAAACAUCUAAGUACCCCGAGGAAAAGAAAUCAACCGAGAUUCCCCCAGUAGCGGCGAGCGAACGGGGAGCAGCCCAGAGCCUGAAUCAGUGUGUGUGUUAGUGGAAGCGUCUGGAAAGGCGUGCGAUACAGGGUGACAGCCCCGUACACAAAAAUGCACAUACUGUGAGCUCGAUGAGUAGGGCGGGACACGUGGUAUCCUGUCUGAAUAUGGGGGGACCAUCCUCCAAGGCUAAAUACUCCUGACUGACCGAUAGUGAACCAGUACCGUGAGGGAAAGGCGAAAAGAACCCCGGCGAGGGGAGUGAAAAAGAACCUGAAACCGUGUACGUACAAGCAGUGGGAGCACGCUUAGGCGUGUGACUGCGUACCUUUUGUAUAAUGGGUCAGCGACUUAUAUUCUGUAGCAAGGUUAACCGAAUAGGGGAGCCGAAGGGAAACCGAGUCUUAACUGGGCGUUAAGUUGCAGGGUAUAGACCCGAAACCCGGUGAUCUAGCCAUGGGCAGGUUGAAGGUUGGGUAACACUAACUGGAGGACCGAACCGACUAAUGUUGAAAAAUUAGCGGAUGACUUGUGGCUGGGGGUGAAAGGCCAAUCAAACCGGGAGAUAGCUGGUUCUCCCCGAAAGCUAUUUAGGUAGCGCCUCGUGAAUUCAUCUCCGGGGGUAGAGCACUGUUUCGGCAAGGGGGUCAUCCCGACUUACCAACCCGAUGCAAACUGCGAAUACCGGAGAAUGUUAUCACGGGAGACACACGGCGGGUGCUAACGUCCGUCGUGAAGAGGGAAACAACCCAGACCGCCAGCUAAGGUCCCAAAGUCAUGGUUAAGUGGGAAACGAUGUGGGAAGGCCCAGACAGCCAGGAUGUUGGCUUAGAAGCAGCCAUCAUUUAAAGAAAGCGUAAUAGCUCACUGGUCGAGUCGGCCUGCGCGGAAGAUGUAACGGGGCUAAACCAUGCACCGAAGCUGCGGCAGCGACGCUUAUGCGUUGUUGGGUAGGGGAGCGUUCUGUAAGCCUGCGAAGGUGUGCUGUGAGGCAUGCUGGAGGUAUCAGAAGUGCGAAUGCUGACAUAAGUAACGAUAAAGCGGGUGAAAAGCCCGCUCGCCGGAAGACCAAGGGUUCCUGUCCAACGUUAAUCGGGGCAGGGUGAGUCGACCCCUAAGGCGAGGCCGAAAGGCGUAGUCGAUGGGAAACAGGUUAAUAUUCCUGUACUUGGUGUUACUGCGAAGGGGGGACGGAGAAGGCUAUGUUGGCCGGGCGACGGUUGUCCCGGUUUAAGCGUGUAGGCUGGUUUUCCAGGCAAAUCCGGAAAAUCAAGGCUGAGGCGUGAUGACGAGGCACUACGGUGCUGAAGCAACAAAUGCCCUGCUUCCAGGAAAAGCCUCUAAGCAUCAGGUAACAUCAAAUCGUACCCCAAACCGACACAGGUGGUCAGGUAGAGAAUACCAAGGCGCUUGAGAGAACUCGGGUGAAGGAACUAGGCAAAAUGGUGCCGUAACUUCGGGAGAAGGCACGCUGAUAUGUAGGUGAAGUCCCUCGCGGAUGGAGCUGAAAUCAGUCGAAGAUACCAGCUGGCUGCAACUGUUUAUUAAAAACACAGCACUGUGCAAACACGAAAGUGGACGUAUACGGUGUGACGCCUGCCCGGUGCCGGAAGGUUAAUUGAUGGGGUCAGCGCAAGCGAAGCUCUUGAUCGAAGCCCCGGUAAACGGCGGCCGUAACUAUAACGGUCCUAAGGUAGCGAAAUUCCUUGUCGGGUAAGUUCCGACCUGCACGAAUGGCGUAAUGAUGGCCAGGCUGUCUCCACCCGAGACUCAGUGAAAUUGAACUCGCUGUGAAGAUGCAGUGUACCCGCGGCAAGACGGAAAGACCCCGUGAACCUUUACUAUAGCUUGACACUGAACAUUGAGCCUUGAUGUGUAGGAUAGGUGGGAGGCUUUGAAGUGUGGACGCCAGUCUGCAUGGAGCCGACCUUGAAAUACCACCCUUUAAUGUUUGAUGUUCUAACGUUGACCCGUGAUCCGGGUUGCGGACAGUGUCUGGUGGGUAGUUUGACUGGGGCGGUCUCCUCCUAAAGAGUAACGGAGGAGCACGAAGGUUGGCUAAUCCUGGUCGGACAUCAGGAGGUUAGUGCAAUGGCAUAAGCCAGCUUGACUGCGAGCGUGACGGCGCGAGCAGGUGCGAAAGCAGGUCAUAGUGAUCCGGUGGUUCUGAAUGGAAGGGCCAUCGCUCAACGGAUAAAAGGUACUCCGGGGAUAACAGGCUGAUACCGCCCAAGAGUUCAUAUCGACGGCGGUGUUUGGCACCUCGAUGUCGGCUCAUCACAUCCUGGGGCUGAAGUAGGUCCCAAGGGUAUGGCUGUUCGCCAUUUAAAGUGGUACGCGAGCUGGGUUUAGAACGUCGUGAGACAGUUCGGUCCCUAUCUGCCGUGGGCGCUGGAGAACUGAGGGGGGCUGCUCCUAGUACGAGAGGACCGGAGUGGACGCAUCACUGGUGUUCGGGUUGUCAUGCCAAUGGCACUGCCCGGUAGCUAAAUGCGGAAGAGAUAAGUGCUGAAAGCAUCUAAGCACGAAACUUGCCCCGAGAUGAGUUCUCCCUGACUCCUUGAGAGUCCUGAAGGAACGUUGAAGACGACGACGUUGAUAGGCCGGGUGUGUAAGCGCAGCGAUGCGUUGAGCUAACCGGUACUAAUGAACCGUGAGGCUUAACCUUACAACGCCGAAGGUGUUU